rnacentral:misc_RNA from 1 species
GAUGAAGAACGUAGCGAAAUGCGAUACGUAAUGUGAAUUGCAGAAUCCAGUGAAUCAUCGAAUCUUUGAACGCACAUUGCGCCCGCCAGCAUUCUGGCGGGCAUGCCUGUUCGAGCGUCAUUUCAACCCUCGACCUCCCCUUGGGGAGGUCGGCGUUGGGGACCGGCAGCACACCGCCGGCCCUGAAAUGGAGUGGCGGCCCGUCCGCGGCGACCUCUGCGCAGUAAUACAGCUCGCACCGGGACCCCGACGCGGCCACGCCGUAAAACACCCAACUUCUGAACGUUGACCUCGAAUCAGGUAGGACUACCCGCUGAACUUAAGCAUAUCAAUAAGCGGAGGA